rnacentral:rRNA from 2 species
CGCGGUAAUUCCAGCUCCAAUAGCGUAUAUUAAAGUUGUUGCAGUUAAAAAGCUCGUAGUUGAAACUUGGGCCUGGCUGGCAGGUCCGCCUCACCGCGUGUACUUGUCCGGCCGGGCCUUUCCUUCUGGAGAACCUCAUGCCCUUCACUGGGUGUGUUGGGGAACCAGGACUUUUACUUUGGAAAAAUUAGAGUGUUCAAAGCAGGCCUUUGCUCGAAUACGUUAGCAUGGAAUAAUAGAAUAGGACGUGCGGUCCUAUUUUGUUGGUUUCUAGGACCGCCGUAAUGAUUAAUAGGGACAGUCGGGGGCAUCAGUAUUCAAUUGUCAGAGGUGAAAUUCUUGGAUUUAUUGAAGACUAACUACUGCGUAAGCAUUUGCCAAGGAUGUUUUCAUUAAUCAGUGAACGAAAGUUAGGGGAUCGAAGACGAUCAGAUACCGUCGUAGUCUUAACCGUAAACUAUGCCGACUAGGGAUCGGGCGAU